rnacentral:lncRNA from 1 species
CCCAUGGGCCCGAGUGAUUUCAGCAAUAACUCUUUUAUGCGCUAUACAUAAUAAUAAAAUGUUGUUUUUAUCUCUUCUCUUAAAAUGAAAUAAGUUCUAACAAAACUAAUUUUUAUCUUCAUAUAGAUUCUAUCUCCUCCGCACAAUAUAGCAAGGAGCUGGAGCGGUAUGCCGUGACAAACAUGCCACCAUCCGUCACGGAUCAUGCCACCAUGCCGCAUUCCUACCAUACUGGUUUCCGGUGGUCUACUGCACAUGGGAGCAAA